AAGGGUGAAUAAAGAAUUAGGAAAUACUAAAUAAAAAAGAAGCUUAUCUGCAUCAUUGCAUAACAUCCAUUUAACAUUUCGAUGUUUUACAGCGCAGAUGAAAGUUGGCGACCUUGCUACUACAUGUCCCAACAUUUCUGAAGCAAUUAGAAUCAAAUGAGAGAGAAGACAUGUUGCACUUGGGCUAACUGACCUACCUCAAAUUAAUUUUAAGUUUACGUAGAAACAUAUUUUGAUAUCCAAGUGUCCUGUAGACUGUAUACUGCUUAUUUGUUAUGUGCAAUUUAAGGACUACUACUUGACAGAUAACACCCUACAAUUUUAUUAUAUAAUAUGCUAACCCUUGGGGGUAAUUUCAGUUUUCAAAUAUUCAACCAAUACUUUGGAUUUUAUUCCAAAGAUCCAAUCACUGAAAGACUUGUCAGAACUGAACCAAAUAGGCAAACAAGACAGGUCAGUCAGGACCUUGUGGUGUAACCCAUCCGUUGAAGAGGUUCAGAUAUUCAACUAGCCCGAAUCAGUUGCAAAUUAAUGUCAUCAAAGUACUGACGUAGUAUACACCAUCAAUAACACUCAGAAAUUAGCCGCAAUGACCACGAGGUAUUUAGGAUAGUAUUAAAGUACCACGAUUCCAUCUUGUCAUUUUUCUAGAACUCAAUAGAAUUUAAAUUUCCAAAUACGUGCAAUGUGGUCCAUCCAAGGUCCACAGAACAUAUUAAUGCUACCUCGAUUCACUAUGCAAGGACUGAGUUUAUUGUUUUCUUAACACUUUAGGAUGGGACUGAGUUUAUUGUUUUCUAACUACUUUUUUACCGUAU